AUUGAACGCUGGCGGCAGGCCUAACACAUGCAAGUCGAGCGAGCGGCGGACGGGGGAGUAAUGCCUGGGAAUUGCCCAGUCGAGGGGGAUAACAGUUGGAAACGACUGCUAAUACCGCAUACGAUUGGAUUGCCCAGGUGGGAUUAGCUAGUUGGUGAGGUAAUGGCUCACCAAGGCGACGACACCUAGCUGGUCUGAGAGGAUGGUCAGUCACACUGGAACUGAGACAGGGUCCAGCCGCCUACGGUAGGCAGCAGUGGGGAAUAUUACAAAAUGGGGUAAACCCUGAUGCAGCCAUGCCUCGUGUGUGAGGAAGGCCUUCGGGUUGUAAAGCACUUUCAGCGAGGAGGCGUUACUCGCAGAAGAGGCACCGGCUAACUCCGUGCCAGCAGCCGCGGUAAUUC
rnacentral:rRNA from 1 species